CGGAGGGUGCAAGCGUUAUCCGGAUUCACUGGGUUUAAAGGGUGCGUAGGUGGGUUGGUAAGUCCGUGGUGAAAUCUCCAAGCUUAACUUGGAAACUGCCGUGGAUACUAUCAAUCUUGAAUCUCGUGGAGGUAAGCGGAAUAUGUCAUGUAGCGGUGAAAUGCUUAGAUAUGACAUAGAACACCGAUAGCGAAGGCAGCUUGCUACACGAGUAUUGACACUGAGGCACGAAAGCGUGGGGAUCAAACAGGAUUAGAUACCCUGGUAGUCCACGCCCUAAACGAUGGAUACUCGACAUACGCGAUACACAGUGUGUGUCUGAGCGAAAGCAUUAAGUAUCCCACCUGGGAAGUACGACCGCAAGGUUG
rnacentral:rRNA from 1 species